CACGUAGGGCGCGAGCGUUGUCCGGAAUUAUUGGGCGUAAAGAGCUCGUAGGCGGCCUGUUGCGUCCGCUGUGAAAGCCCGGGGCUUAACCCCGGGUCGGCAGUGGAUACGGGCAGGCUAGAGGUAGGUAGGGGAGAAUGGAAUUCCCGGUGUAGCGGUGAAAUGCGCAGAUAUCAGGAGGAACACCGGUGGCGAAGGCGGCCAUCUGGCUCGGUACUGACGCUCAGGCGCGAAAGCGUGGGGAGCAAACAGG
rnacentral:rRNA from 1 species